rnacentral:rRNA from 1 species
GACGAACGCUGGCGGCGUGCUUAACACAUGCAAGUCGAACGGAAAGGCCCUGCUUUUGUGGGGUGCUCGAGUUGCGAACGGGUGAGUAACACGUGAGUAACCUGCCCUUGACUUUGGGAUAACUUCAGGAAACUGGGGCUAAUACCGGCUAGGAGCUCCUGCUGCAUGGUGGGGGUUGGUAAGUUUCGGCGGUUGGUGAUGGACUGGCGGCUUAUCAGCUUGUUGGAGGGGUAGUGUCUUAGCAAGGCUUGGACGGGUAGCCGGCCUGAGAGGGUCACCGGCCACAUUGGGACUGAGAUGCGGCCCAGACUCCUACGGGAGGCAGCAGUGGGGAAUAUUGCACAAUGGGCGGAAGCCUGAUGCAGCAACGCCGCGUGCGGGAUGACGGCCUUCGGGUUGUAAACCGCUUUCGCCUGUGACGAAGCGUGAGUGACGGUAAUGGGUAAAGAAGCACCGGCUAACUACGUG